rnacentral:lncRNA from 1 species
AACAAGCCUGGCGUGCUGAGUGCAGGGCACAGACCACUGGAAACUAGACCUCGCUGUACAAGGGAGAGGUCACCUUUCCUUAUAUUCAUCCAGGCAAGGAGGCAUGGAGUCCAGAAUCUUGGAGGAGAAUGGCACAUCCAGAAUAAGACCCACAUAAAGAGAAGAGAAGACAUGAAGUGGGGCCAGAGCCACAGCUAACAUAUAACAUGAUGAGAGAUAAACCUUUGUGUGGUGAGUGACUGAGAUUUUGUUGUUCAUCCUGCAGCAUAACUCGCAUAAGCUGCUGACUAGAGAGAGGACCACAGAGUAGCUGGAGAAACAGCUUAUUUCCAACUGAAUCACAGGGUUUUGGAUGCUUAGCUGGAUGCAGACACAGAUGGCUCAGAAGUAGGCCAAAAGAGGAAAGAAGUAACACUUCUGAGAGUAGACAUCAGGAAGGACUUUUGAGAAGAGGUG